rnacentral:rRNA from 1 species
GGCAUCUGAUGCAGCCACGCCGCGUGGAGGAUGACGCAUCUUCGGUGUGUAAACUCCUUUUAUAUGUCAAGAAAAUGACGGUAGCAUAUGAAUAAGCACCGGCUAACUCCGUGCCAGCAGCCGCGGUAAU